rnacentral:rRNA from 1 species
UACGUAGGGGGCAAGCGUUGUCCGGAUUUAUUGGGCGUAAAGAGCGUGUAGGCGGCCAUGUAAGUCCGUUGUGAAAACUCGAGGCUCAACCUCGAGACGCCGAUGGAAACCAUGUGGCUAGAGUCCGGAAGAGGAGAGUGGAAUUCCUGGUGUAGCGGUGAAAUGCGCAGAUAUCAGGAAGAACACCCGUGGCUAAGGCGGCUCUCUAGUACGGUACUGACGCUGAGACGCGAAAGCGUGGGGAGCGAACAGG